rnacentral:tRNA from 1 species
GCCCGGAUGGCGGAAUUGGUAGACGCGCUGGUCUCAAACACCAGUAACUUCACGGUUGUAUCGGUUCGACCCCGAUUUCGGGUA